rnacentral:tRNA from 1 species
GCCCAGGUGGUGAAAUUGGUAGACACGCUGUCUUCAGGCGGCAGUGCUGCAAGGCGUGCUGGUUCGAGUCCAGUCCUGGGCA